CCGAAGACAGUAGUAAAUGUGAUUUGCAGGGUGCAAGCAACGUGUCAUUGUGGUUAGAAAAAAUGAAUCAGUAUACAUGUGAUUUAACUGUCAAAGCCGGAAUGUUUAAAGGAUCGACUGUCCAGCGAGGAGAUUGCGGAAUCAGCAACUGAU